AGAAUGGGCGCUUGUCGCGUGCCAGAUCGGGGUUCAAUUCCCCGUCGCGGAG
rnacentral:tRNA from 1 species